rnacentral:lncRNA from 1 species
CGAGCAGCAUCUUCAACCUAUGCAACAGCUAACAGCAACGCCAGAUCAUUAACCCACUGAGCAAGGCCAGGGAUGGAAGCCGCAACCUCACGGUUCCUAGUCAGAUUCGUUAACCACCGUGCCACGACGGGAACUCUGCUAUGUUAGUUUUCUAAUGCUGCUGUAACAACUCACCACAAACUUAGUAUGUAAAAUGAUCCACUUUUAUCAUCAUAUAGUCCGGUAAGUCAGAAUCUGAUACAGGUCUCACUGGGCUAAAGUCAAGGUGUUGGAAGAGCUGUAUUUCUUCCGGAGUUUCCAAGAGAGAAUCUCUUUCCUUGCCUUUUCCAGCUUCUUGAAGUCUCCAUCUUCGAAGCCAGCAACAGCAGAUCAAGUCCUCCCUACCACUCCAUCUCUCUUGUUUUCUGCAUGCAGGAAAAGUUCUCCACUUUUAAGCACCCAUACGAGUAGAUGGGGCCCACUUGCAUAAUCCAGGCUAAUCUUUCCAUCUCAGCAUCCUUAACCUGAAUCAUAUCCAUCUGCAAGGUCCCUUUUACCACGUGAGGCAUCAUAGUCACAAGUUCUGAGGAUUAGGAUGUGGCAUCUUUAAGACCCAUUAUUUUGCCUAUCGCAAAUGGCACAGUAAACUUUCCCAUGACCAUAUGUAACAAGAUAGAUGGUCAAGAGAUUAAUGAUCUUUCUUUGGUUCCUUUUCUUAUAAAAUUUCUUCAUUUUGCAUAUUUGAACAAAUCCGUCUGAAGCCUUGACCUCCUGAAGCUCUUUAUAAGGAACACAGGGUCAACUCUGUCCAGAUUCAAGGUCCUUUAUUUAGCUGUCUUCUCAUAGCUGCAGGUUUAGCUGUCACAGAAAGACUCUAAAUGAGAACAUAUUCCCAAAGGCUUGGUUGGAGCAGGAAAGGAAUGAGUAGAAUGGGAUCAGAUGCUUAUUCCCCACUAGAGGAUUGCAUGUAGUAAAGUGUUAUUACUGAAAAAAGGCAAUUGAAAUUCCUCUGAAUGGAGCGUCUGGGUGGAUACCUUGAUGAAGGUGCUUUCUGGCCGGAGACUGUAGGGGCCAAUUUAUGUAUAGACACAAUAAACAAAAUGUAAAUCUACAGGAAGGCAGGCAAACUCAUCAUUCAUUCAACAAAGAUAAUGUGCCAGGUGCCAUUUUACUUUAUUUUACCUUAUUUGUCUUUUUAGGGCCACACCUGCAGCAUAUGGAGGUUUCCAGGCUAGGGGUCUAAUCAGAGCUGUGGCCGCUGGCCUACGCCGCAGCAACUGGGGAUCCAAGCCUUGUCUGCGACCUACAGCAUAGUUCACGGCAAGGUCAGGGAUUGAACCCGAAACCUCAUGGUUCCUAAUUGGAUUCAUUAACCACUGAGCUACGAUGGGAACUUCCAGAUUUCACCAGUUAUAAUGCAGUCAUUGGAUAUGUGGGCAUAGUUCCAUGUAAUUUUAUCAUAUGUGUAGCCUUGAGUAAUCAUCAUUGCAAUCAAAGUACUGAACUGCAUAUAUGAAUUAUAUCUCAAUAAAGCUGUUACAAAAAAAACCCCGAAACCCUCAGUUUUGCCAUCAUCACAAGACACUGUGUCGGUGUUACCUCUUUAUGGCCUUGUCCAUCCCUCUCCACCAUCACUAACCCCUGGCAACGCUAAUCCAUUCUCCAUCUCUAUAAUUAUGUUAUUUCAUGAAUAUUACAUAUACAGAAUCAUGCAGUAGGUAUCUUUUUGAGAUUGGCUUUUUUCAUUCAGCAUAAUUCCCUUGAGAUCUAAAUUGUUUUGUGUAUUAGUAGUGCAUUCCUUUUUAUUUUUGAGUAGUAUUCCAUGGUAUGGAUGUACCACAGUUAAACCAUUCACCAUUAAAAGACAUUUGCUUAGUUUCUGGAGUUCCCUCAUGGAUCAGCAGAAACGAAACUGACUAGCAUCCAUGAGGACGCAGGUUCGAUCCCUGACCUCUCUCAGUGGGUUAAGGAUCUGGCAUUGCUGUGAGCUGUGGUGUAGGUCACAGUCGUGGCUUGGAUCUGGCGUUGCUAAGGCUGUGGCGUAGGCCAGCAGCUACAGCUCCAAUUGGACCUCUAGCCUGGGAAUCUCCAUAUAUCGCAGGUGCGGCCCUAAAAGACAAAACAAAACAAAACAACAGAUAUGUAGAUAGUUUCCAAUUUUGAGCUAUUACAAUAAAACUGCUAUUAACAUUGAUGUACAAGUUCCUGCUUAGAAAUGUCUUAAUUUCUUUUAGCUGAAUGUCCAGAAGUGUGAUUAUUUGGGUUGUAUGAUAAGUGUAUUAUGCUUUUUUCAGAAACUGACAAACUUCCAGAGGGGCUGUAUCAUUUUGCAUUCCCCAGCAAUGUAUGAGUAAUCCAGUUUCUCUCCAAUCUUGCCAACAUUUGGUGUUAAUCACUGUUUUUUAUUUUAGCCAUUUUGAUAACUAUGUUGUUAUUAUCUCAUUGUGCUUUAGUUUUCAUUUCUCUAAUGACUAGUAAUAAUGAAUAUCCUUUCAUGUACUAUUUGCCACUAUAUAUUCUCUUUGGUGAGAUUUUUUUUUUUGUUUUUUUUGUUUUUUUUUUUUUUUGUCUUUUUGCCAUUUCUUGGGUCGCUCCUGCGGCAUAUGGAGGUUCCCAGGCUAGGGGUCCAAUCGGAGCUGCAGCCGCCAGCCUACACCAGAGCCACAGCAACUUGGGAUCCAAGCCGCUACUGCUACCUACACCACAGCUCACGGCAACGCCGGAUCCUUAACCCACUGAGCAAGGCCAGGGAUUGAAGCUGCAGCCUCAUGGUUCCUAGACGGAUUCGUUAACCACUGAGCCACAACGGGAACUCCCACACUGUCUGGAUUACUGUAACUUUAUAGCAAGCUUUAAUAUCUAGAAAAUAUUAUUCCUCCCACUUUAUUCUUCUUUUCCAGAAACUGUUUUGACUAUACUAGAUCCUUUCACUUUCCAUGUAAAUUUUAGAAUAAACUUGUGUCUGUCUACAGAGCAACUUGCUGAGAUUUAGAUAGGAAUUAUGUUAAACUUAGACAUUUAGGAAAUCAAUUUAGGGAAAAUUGACAUCUUUAUUAUAUUGAAUCUUCCAAUUCAUGAACACAACGUGUCUCCCUGAGGAUUUAGUUUGUCUUUCAUUCUUUCAUCAGCAAUGAAUAAUUUUCACCAUACAGAUCUUGUACAUAUUUUUGGUAGAUUUAUACUUAAGUAUUUCAUUUUCCCUGGAGCCAUUGUAAGGAAUGUGUUCUUGAGGAGGGCUAUCUGAACAGAGACCCGAGUGAAGUGAGAUGUGAGCUUGCUAUAAAACUACAAGAGUAUAAAGGUCCUGAGACACGCAUUUGCUUGGUGUGUGUUAAGGACCAGCAAAAAGAACACGUCUGAGAUGAAGUGAGCUAGAAAAAGAAUAGCAGCAAAUGAGAUCCAGGAGGUUGCCAGGGGUCGACAGGGCCUCGGUGAUGUCACCAUGAGAUCUUGGAAUUUAUCCCCGAGUGUGAUGAGAUUUCAUUAAAGGGCUCUGAGCACAGGAAUGAUAGGAUCUGACUUUUAUUUUAGAAGGAUCACCCUGGCACCUGGCUGGAGGAUGGGCUGUAGGGGGACACAGAGAAACAGAGGACUCAGGUAGGAAGCUCUUGGAGUGGCCCGGGAGACAGAUGAUGGGAGCUCCAACCACGCUGGCAGCUGCGGAGGUGAUGAGGAGUCGUUGGAAUCUAGACAUAUUUUGAAGGUGUAGCUGACAGGAUAUGCUGAUGGAUUGGGUGUGGGAUGUUAGAAAAAGAGAAGAGUCAGGAUGACUCAAAGGUUCUUGGCCUGGUGCAGCUGGGUAAAUGGUGGUGCUGUUUAUUAAGAAAAGAAAAACUAUGCCCUUUAGUAUAAAAAAAGAGAAUUGUCACCACCAGUGACAGUGUCACCCAUUAUUAUUUUUUGGCUGUGCCCAAAGCAUAUGGAAGUUCCCCAGCCAGGGACUGAACCCACACCACAGCAGUGACCUGAGCUGCUGUGGUGACAGCUGGGUAAAUGGUGGUGCUAUUUAUUGAGAAAAGAAAAACAAUAUCCUUAGACUUAAUUUUUGUUUUUUGUAUAAGUUAAGGGUACAAUUCCUUCUUUUACAUAUAAGGGUACAAUUCCUUCUUUUACAUCCAGUUUUCCCAACACUUCUUGUUGAAAAGACAGUCAUUUCCCCACUGAAUGGUGUUGGCACCUUUCUAGAAAAUCAGUUGGCGUAUAGGGAGGGUUUAUGUUUGAGCGUUGUAUUCUAUUCUAUUGGCCUAUAUGUCUAUCUUUAUGUCCAUGUCACAGUACUUUAAUCACUGCAGUUUAUAGUAAGUUUUGAAAUCGUGACGUGUAAGUCCUCUACUUUUAUUCAUCUUUAUCAAGAUUGCUUUGGCUAUUCAGAGCCCAGUAUUUGAGGACAAACUUUUCCAUUUAUGUGAAAAAUGCUGUUGUCAUAUUGAUAGGGAUUGUGUUAUAUAGCUUUGGGGAGUAUUGCUAUCUUAACCUUCUUAAGUCUUCUUAUCCGUGAACACAGAAUAUCUUUCCAUUUAUUUAGGUCUUCUUUAAUUUCUUGCAGCAACAUUUUGUAGUUUUCAGUGUACAUGUCUUUCACCUCCUAGGUUAGAUUUAUUCUUAAGUAUUUAAUUCUUUAGAUGCUUUGUAAAUGGAAUUGCUAUCUUAAUUUCCUUUUCAGAAUGUUCACUUUUGGUGUGUUGAAGCACAACUGAUAAUAUCUCAUUUUUAUAAAGAAAGAAAUAGAGACUUAGACAAAGGUGUUCAAAGGUUCUUGGCUAGUAAGUCCCAACUCGGGUCUCUAACUCCAAUCUAUUGUCCUGCCUCGGAGGAGGUACCUUAUUUAGCUCCUUUCCCUCUGACUUGAUGUUCUUAAUUGUAAAAUAAGAAAUACUGGAAGAAAGAACGAACAGGAUCACUGCCACAAUCAUGCUCCAAAUUCUGGCCAGUGUGACAACUGAAGUCCAUAAGGAGACAAACAAGAUCUCAAGGAUACCCAUGGAUGGCUCAGAGAUACUUUCAGGUUCAUUCCUCCCUCCCUGCCCCCCACCCCACCCCCGAUCCAGCUAUGGUGUGCAGCAGCUUGCUGUGGGAUCUUAGUUCCCAGACCAGGGAAUGACCCCAGGCAGCAGGUGUGGAAUCCUAACCACUAGACCACCAGGGAACUCCCUCGUGUUCAUUCUUUUCAAGUGGAAGGCCAAGAGGCCAAAAAACAAAAAGUCACCAUUGAAUUGUGACUUCAAAAUGCCAAAAUAUUUGGUGAGAAUGACUCAGAAAUCAAGAAGUUACUUGUAGCCAAUCGAGCACUGUAACACAUUGUCACAUAGGAUAGCUUCUCUUGGAUCUGACAAAAGGACUGUGUUAUGACAUGUGAAUGGAGUUAAGACUCUGGAGGAACUGGGUGGGGGGUGGCUCAGGAGAGGAGCACUUCACGCCCUGCUACCAUGAGGUUGGAGCUCGGGAGCACGUCAGAUCACUGUGAGGAGUCUCUAAAAGACACUGGCCGUCUUGGUGAGCCUGAAGAAGGGGAUGGGUGAGCCCAAAGAAGGGGAUGGGUGAGCCUUCUCCCAGACCCUGAAUGCCAUUCAGGAACCACCAGGAAAUUGUGUCUUCCCCAGUGCUCACUGAACACCUUCCUUCCUCUCCCGGACUUCCUGUUUGUCACAAUUCCCAAAUCUCCACUUCUUAGACGGUGAGUCUGAGAGUUGAGAAAUUAACCCAUUUCCCUCCUCCUGAAAGGAAGAACAUUCUGGAUGGAAGACAGCCCUGUAGGAUCAUCUCAGUUUACCCUCUCCUAUAUCUAGGAUUAAGGUACUAUAUUACAGUGAUGUGAUUCGUUUGCUUGCUUCCCAAGAAAUCUUGGACAAGGAAUGCUAGCGCCUUCGUACCUGAAGAAUUGCUAACAUUUGUAGGCAGAGAGGUAAGGGGCUGCCUGAGCACAUGCAUAGGUUUCUGCCUAAUGCAUGGAAUGCUGAGAACCCCCCAUAGCCCUUCAAAUCUGGCUCCUUCACAACUAGAUAGAAAAUUGGAGUUUUCUUGUGGCCCAACAGGUUAAGGGUCCAGCAUGGUCCCUGCUGCGGCAUGGGUUCAACCCCUGGCCCUGGAACAUCUGCAUCCCACAGGCAGAGCAAAACAACAAAAGCAAAAACCAAAACCAAACAAACAAAAACCACCAAAACCCAAAAAGCAAAGGAUCACUGUGAUAUCAGGCGACCAUCUCUGUGGCUCAGACUUUAGACGUAAGAGCCAUUUCAUUUACAGCACAGAAAAAAUUACUGAGGCAGGUCAUAAUAUUUUAAAUUAUUUUUCCAUUGGGAAUAUUAUACCCUGAUGACAUAGAUUAUCCAACUUCUUCCUUUAAUCACCGGUGCCUUCCCCCAAUUCCCUUGCCUCCAGCUUCUUGCCCUUCACAGCAUCCUCACAUUGACUGAUUAAUGUUCUCUUUAAAAAUU